UGAAUACGAGACGCUAAGGCGUCGAAGUAGUGUAUGUCAUACUUCCAAGAAAAGCUUGCACUGUCAUAGAUAAAAAACGCCUGUACCAUAACCGACACAGGUGGGUAGGUAGAGUAUACUAAGGGGCGCGAGAUAACUCUCUCUAAGGAACUCGGCAAAAUAACUCCGUAACUUCGGGAGAAGGAGUGCCUUAUUCGUAAGGUUGCAAUAACAAGAUCCAAGCAACUGUUUAUCAAAAACACAGGUCUCCGCUAAGUCGUAAGACGAUGUAUGGGGGCUGACGCCUGCCCAGUGCCAGAAGGUUAAAGAAGUUGGUUAGCAAUUGCGAAGCUGAUAACUGAAGCCCUGGUGAACGGCGGCCGUAACUAUAACGGUCCUAAGGUAGCGAAAUUCCUUGUCGGGUAAGUUCCGACCCGCACGAAAGGCGUAAUGAUUUGGAUACUGUCUCGGAGAGGGGCUCGGUGAAAUAGACUUGUCUGUGAAGAUGCGGACUACCUGCACCAGGACAGAAAGACCCUAUGAAGCUUUACUGUAACUUGAAAUUGAAAUUGGACUUUAUUCGCGCAGUAUAGGUGGGAGGCGUUGAUUAUAAUCUUGUGGGAUUAUUGGAGCCAUCAGUGAGAUACCACUCUUGUAAUGUUAGAUUUCUAACUUUGAAUCAUUAUCUGGUCAAAGAACAGUUUCAGGCGGGCAGUUUGACUGGGGCGGUCGCCUCCUAAACGGUAACGGAGGCGUACAAAGGUUUCCUCUGAACGGUUAGAAAUCGUAUCUAGAGUGUAAAGGCAUAAGGAAGCUUGACUGUGAGACCUACAAGUCGAGCAAGGACGAAAGUCGGUCUUAGUGAUCUGACGGUACUGAGUGGAAAGGCCGUCACUCAACGGAUAAAAGUUACUCUUAGGAUAACAGGCUGAUCUCCCCCAAGAGUUCACAUCGACGGGGAGGUUUGGCACCUCGAUGUUGGCUCAUCGCAUCCUGGGGCGGUAGUACGUCCCAAGGGUUGGGCUGUUCGCCCAUGAAAGCGGUACGCGAGCUGGGUUCAGAACGUCGUGAGACAGUUCGGUCCAUAUCCGGUGUAGGCGUUAGAAUAUUGAGAGGAGCCUUCUUUAGUACGAGAGGACCGAGAAGGACAUACCUCUGGUGUACCAGUUAUCGUGCCAACGGUAAACGCUGGGUAGCUAUGUAUGGAGUGGAUAACCGCUGAAAGCAUCUAAGUGGGAAGCCCACCUCAAGAUAAGUAUUCUCAUC
rnacentral:rRNA from 1 species